rnacentral:ncRNA from 1 species
CUCAUCAAGAGCGGUGGAGGGAAUGGCCCUGUGAAACCGCAGCAACCAUUGCAGAGUGAUGUCUGUAAACGGUGCUAAGUCCAACAGCACUUUAGCUGUAAGAUGAGA